rnacentral:lncRNA from 1 species
GGUGCAUUAAGAGCUUCAAAUUGGUUGUUUAUGGUGGUUUGUGUAUUGAUGGCAAUGACAAUAUUGUGAAUUCUUGAGGAAGAUGAGGGUGAUAGAGUAAAAUAUGCAUUAAAAAAAAAAGUGAUUGCAUUUUCGUGAAUAAUCUGAACUUUGGGGGUGAAAGAGGCAAGUCAAAGUUAAAAAAAAACAUGAGUUAGAUUUGUGUUUGACUUCAAGUUUUGAGUCAUAUUUGCAAAAAUCCCAAAUAUAUAUGGGUAUAUUCAAUAUUUUUAAAACAAUAGGUGACUACCGAUUCAGUAUGGUCAGGCACAACCAACUAGAGGAAUUGCCAAAAAUGAACCAAAAUUUUAUUUGAAAUGAAAAAAAAUAUAUCUCAAAUUCAAUCAAAGGUAAAAGUAACCUAAAAGAAAAGUGAAAUUAUAAUCAACUCUUUAUAAUCAAAAAAAAAAAAAAUGUAGUCAUGUCUCUCUCAUUAAUUUAUCUUGUUUUGCAGGUUUUCAUUUCAUGGUUAUCAUCUUACACUCUUUUAAAGGUAGAUCUAUAAAUUUUGGAUAUGUAUUUUUGUGUGUUUUAUAAGUUAGAGUCAAAAAUUUAUAGAACAACCUAAUGUUAUUGUUGUAUUUAUUAUUUAAGCAUAAAAAAAUAUUUUGGAGGUUUUUC